GAAGAUAUCACAACACAACUCUAAAAAUAAAAUAAGUCAUACAAGCAUCAUAAUACAAGGCAGGGGACUCGAGGGCUCGAAUACAAGUGCUUGAUCAUAGACGAGUCAGCGGAAGCAACAAUAUCUGAGUACAGACAUAAGUUAAACAAGUUUGCCUUAAGAAGGCUAGCACAAACUGGGAUACAGAUCGAAAGAGGCGCAGGCCUCCUGCCUGGGAUCCUCCUAACUACUCCUGGUCGUCGUCAGCGGCCUGCACGUAGUAGUAGGCACCUCCAGAGUAGUAGUCGUCGUCGACGGUGGCGUCUGGAUCCUGGGCUCCAACGUCUGGUUGCGGCAUCCGAGAAGAAGAGGAAAAACGGAAGAAAAGAGGGAGCAAAGCAACCGUGAGUACUCAUCCAAAGUACUCGCAAGCAAGAAGCUACACUACAUAUGCAUGGUUAUAUGUGUAAGGAGGCAAUAUGAGUGGACUGAACUGCAGAAUGCCAGAAUAAGAGGGGGGUAGCUAGUCCUAUUGAAGACUAUGCUUCUGGCAGCCUCCGUCUUGCAGCAUGUAGAAGAGAGUAGACUGAAGUCCUCCAAGUAGCAUCGCAUAGCAUAAUCCUACUCGGCGAUCCUCCCCUCGUCGCCCUGUGGAAAAGCGAUCACCGGGUUGUCUGUGGAACUUGGAAGGGUGUGUUUUAUUAAGUAUCCAGUUUUAGUUGUCAUAAGGUCAAGGUACAACUCCAAGUCGUCCUGUUACCGAAGAUCACAGCUAUUCGAAUAGAUUAACUUCCCUGCAGGGGUGCACCACAUAACCCAACACGCUCGAUCCCAUUUGGCCGGACACACUUUCCUGGGUCAUGCCCGGCCUCGGAAGAUCAACACGUCGCAGCCCCACCUAGGCCUAACAGAGAGGUCAGCACGCCGGUCUAACUCCUAUGGCGCAGGGGUCUGGGCCCAUCGCCCAUUGCACACCUGCAUGUUGCGAGGGCGGUCGAAAGCAGAACUAGCCCCCUUAAUACAAGAGCAGGCUUACGUUCCAAUCCAACGCGCGCCGCUCAGUCGCUGACGUCUAGAAGGCUUCGGCUGAUACCACGACGUCGAGUGCCCAUAUCUUUCCCACGUAGUUGGUUAGCGCGUAUAGACCAAAUGGCCAGAGUCAGAUCAAAUACCAAGAUCUCGUUAAGCGUGUUAAGUAUCCGCGAACGCCGAACAGGGCCAGGCCCACCUGUCUCCUAGGUGGUCUCAACCUGCCCUGUCGCUCCGCCACAAAGUAACAGUCGGGGGCCGUCGGGAACCCAGGCCCGCCUCUAUCGGGAUGGAGCCACCUGUCCUUUCAGCCCCCUCAUCAGAAUCACUUGCGGGUACUCAUCGAGCUGACCCGACUUUAGUCACCAUCUGAAUAGUAUGUAUGUAUGUAUAGUAUAUACCCGUGAUCACCUCCCGAGUGAUCACGGCCCAAUAGUAUAGCAAGGCAGACUGACAAGAAUGUAGGGCCAAUAAUGAUAAACUAGCAUCAUAUACUAAGCAUUUAGGAUUGCGGGUAAGGUAUCAAUGACUGUAGCAACAAUGACAGGCUAUGCAACAGAAUAGGAGUAACCGAACAGUAACAUGCUACACUACUCUAAUGCAAGCAGUAUAGAGGAGAAUAGGCGAUAUCUGGUGAUCAAGGAGGGGGGCUUGCCUGGUUGCUCUGCAAGGAGGGGUCGUCAACAACGUAGUCGAUCGGGGCACCAGCAGCGGCGUUAGUCUCGUAGUCUAUCGGAGAGAAGAUGGGGAAGAAACAAUGAAUACAAUGCAAACAUAUGCAUAUCGAUGCAUGACAAGACAAGUAACGGUGCUAGGUGUGCCCUAACGCGGUAGGAGGUGAUACCGACGAAGGGGGGAAAACAUCCGGGAAAGUAUUUCCGGUGUUUCGCGUUAUCGGACAGAUGAACCGGACGGGAAAGUUGCGUGUUUGCUAUGCUAGGGAUGUGUGGCGGACGAACGGUUUGCGUAUCCGGAUUCAUCUCGUCGUUCUGAGCAACUUUCAUGUAUAAAACUUUUUCAUCCGAGUUACAAUUUAUUUUAUAUUAAUUUACAAAGCUUUAAAAGAUUUUCUAAUUUUCUGGAAUUAAUUUAAUUUGAAAAUAAAUUAAUAUGCAAAAGCUAAGUGUACGCAACAAAGGGUAUUAGAGGCUGACAGGUGGGGUCAGUGGGGUGCUGAGUCAGCAGGGUCAACAGUCAACAUUGACUGGUCAAAACUGGGCAGUGGGGCCCAGGUGUCAUUGGGUCAUUUGCUAAACAGAUUGUUUAUUUAGUCUACUAGUGGUGGGGGUUAGUACUAACUGAUUAGGCAGGGGGCUAGUGCUAAUUAGUAAUGGGCCGGCCGUUUGGUAGUGGCUCAAGCCACGCCGGCCAACACGCAUGACACAAAGGCCACGGUGGCCAUGGCUAGCCAAGAGUGGCUGCGUGCACGGAAGCGACGGCAUCAGCAGUAAGUAGAGCAGUUGUGCAGCGGCAGGAGCAGCAAUGCAGCGCAAGGAGCAGCAGGAGUGGGGGAAGGAGGGGCUGGGCGCGUGCAAGGCGAGGCCCCGAGCAGAAGCGGCCUGGCCGGAGUGGCCAGGCGCCGGCGGCGCGUCGUAGCAGCGAAGCAGCCAGGGCGGGCGACGCAAGGUAGCGGCGGGCUGCACGCGCAGGCGACGGCGGGCGCAGCGGGACGACGAGGCCAGGGGCGCGGCCCUGACGAGCAGCGGGGCCGUGGUUGGGCGCGGCAGGCGCAGGGGAGCAGCAACGUGGGUGCGCGCAGGGCGCGGCCACCGGCAGGAGCAGGCGGGGGCGCGUGCGCAUAUUCGGAAGCUCGAACGCGGCCAUGGAAGAGGACGACCAAGCUCGGGGACGACGGCAAACGGCGACAAAUCAAAGGGGAAAUGUGGGGAAUCGGCAGAGGAGCUCACGUUGAGGCCGUGGACGAGCUCGAGGAGGUCAGGGAUGGCCGGGAGCAGCGGCAUCUGGCGACGGACGACGGUGUACGCGAGGAAGACGACGGCGAUGGCGGGCGAACGGGCCUCGUAGCUCGACACCUUUUGUCGAGGGUGAAGAAGACGACGACGAUGGAGCCCCUGGAUGUAUUCUCAAGCGCCGGAGAGGUCGUCGGCCGCGACGACGGUGAUGGUCAUGGCGGCUACAGCGCUUUGGGGAGUGGGGGGGACUGUGAGGGAGAGGCGAGGGGAGAGA
rnacentral:lncRNA from 1 species